GUAGUGGCGAAUGAAGAGGGAAAAGCUCAAGUUUGAAAUCUGGCUGGUGACCGUCCAGAGUUGUAAGCUGGAGAGGUGUCGUCCGACUCGGUCCAGGCUCAAUUUCCUUGGAACAGGAGGUCAUGGAGGGUGAGAACCCCGUACAUGGCUUGGGCGCCGCCGUCCUUGUGACGCAUCCUCUAAGAGUCGGGUUGUUUGGGAAUGCAGCUCAAAAUGGGUGGUAAAUUUCAUCUAAAGCUAAAUAUGGGCGAGAGACCGAUAGCAAACAAGUAGAGUGAUCGAAAGAUGAAAAGUACUUUGAAAAGAGAGUGAAACAGUACGUGAAAUUGUUGAAAGGGAAGCGUUUGGCAUCAGCCCAUGGCGGUGGUACGAACAUCCUUGCUUCGGCAUGGUGCACUCGUCCACCGUUGGGCCAGCGUCGGCUCUGCCUGCCAGAGAAAGGCCUUGGGGAAGUGGCUCUCCCUUCGGGGAGCGUGUUAUAACCCAUGGUGUCAUGUGGCUUU
rnacentral:rRNA from 1 species